rnacentral:lncRNA from 10 species
UUUUUAUAGUCCACGUUUAUAACAAACCCACUCUUAAAAUAACAAACCCAUUCCUGCGAUAAUGGCAUUAAUUUAUUCAUGGGGGCAGCAUCCUCAUGACCUAAUAAUCUCUUAAAGGUUCCAUCUUUCAACGCUGAUGUAUUGGGGGUUAAGUUUCUAGCAUAUGAACUUUGGGGGACACAUUCAAAGCUAGCAGCAUCUUACCUUUGUAUUUAUUUUUACUUAUGCUAUUCUAGUAGGAAAAUUUUUUUGUGUCUCUUCACAUGAAGGAUAAAUAUUUUUAGAGGCAGCUAAAAGAAUUUUCUCCCCUUGAAGCACAGAUUUCUUUCCUUUUUAACCUCUUUUUGCCUUCACUUUUCAUAUCUCCAUGUAUUCUCUCAAGACUCAUAUAUUCAACGUGUGGUAAGAAGGAUACCACUAAGAAAAGAUAAACUGCAUAUAGUUAUUAUGGCUGACGGAUCUAUGUAAUUAUAGACUGUUAAGCACAUUACAGUUGAGGAAAGCCACAGAAUGUUGGUAGAACUCAAGACAGGAGAAUAUUGGUGUGUUUGGAAUGUAUAUUAUUUUAUUCUGCGAUGGCAUAGCUCUCUGUGCAUUUGUUAACAAUUUCUUUUUUUAAGCCCAGUGGCAAGAAGAGCUUCUUGUUAUAUGGUCAUAAUGUUGAAAAUUGUAAUAUAUGCUGCAAGAAUGCAACUCCAGUACUGUGGAAAGAAUUCCUCUUUUGGAAUUUACAGGAAUCACAGUCGAAGAACAGAGAAAGGUGAAUAAGGAAGCAAACUGAGCUGAUAUGAUAUUUCCUUCAGCUCAGGACUGGCCAACAUCUUUAUUUGGUACAAAGAACAGUGCCAGAUGACAAUCCUACAGAGGAAUUUGAAAGAAAAUCUCCAGCGGAGGGUGAGAUUUGAAAUGCAGAGUCAGUGAGCCAACUUCUGAUAGUCCAGGCAGCCAGGUCAACUGCAAUGCCUACAGGUGAGGUUGGGCUUCACUAAUAACACCUAAACCAUCAAAAUCACCUGGAGGAGCAUUUAAAAGGUGGACUCCUGGUUCUACUCCAGAUGCAUUGAAUCCAAAUGGGGAUGAGGCAAUAAGUCUGUGCCAAGCACUGUUCUAGGCACUUUUAUUAUUCUGGACACUAUUAUUAUCAUAGUCCCUAUUAUUUUAUUAAUUCAACCAUUGCAUUUGUCAGGUAUUGGCCCCUUUUUACAGGUGAAGAAGCUGAGGCUCAGAGAGGUUGAGUAACUGGCAUCGAGUCACAGAGCUGUGACUCCAACCAAAGUCUGCUUCUAGCGCCUUUGUAACCCUUGCACUCUGCCAGAACUGGAAAUGAGUUAAAUUCUUGGACCAGUCACAGAUUCCAGAAAGGUAGAAGAAAGCAUUUUUCCUUCCUUGCACCACCCAAAGGAGAGCAUGAUCAGCCCAGGUCAAGGGAAGAGCAAGAAACUCUGAAGAACCCAUGAAAUCUCCCAUGAGAAAAGAAUCAACUGCUACCCUCUCUUGUUCUCAUCCAAGGUUUCCCACUUCAACCAUUACCAAGUUCAGCCAAGUAACAGUGUCAUAUUUUCUUCCUUUUCCUCCCUCUCCCUAUUUUGACCCCAGCCAGAGAGAAAUCACAGGUGGCACAGGUGAGCUGGGAGAAAAGAGAGAACGGAAGGAUCACAAACUCCUUCCACAUGCAGGCUUUCGACACAAGCCCAGGCUGGAGAAGAGGUGAUGGUUUAGCCCUGAUCUCACGUUUGGAUUUUUUAUUAUUAUGUGAGACCAACUAUAUUAACUUUCUAAAAUAGGAUUGUUUUACAACUAAAAGUGACUAACACUGAGAGUGGCCCAAGACUCUCCAUGAACAAGAAAAGUUUGUCUCCACUGAUAAGAGUUUAAAAUGAUGGAGCAAGACAAAUAUAGUGUUUGGAUCACAUUCUAUGGGUCAUGCUUGUACAACAUAUGGUUACAUAAGCACAGAGCAGCAGGGACUUCCCACCGCUUCCCUAAGAGAAGCCCUGUACUGAUUCUGUCAGCUGCAUUCUCAGCCUUGGCUCCUGGGAUAAAAAUGUCUAUUGGAUGAGGAUCUGAAACAUCAGAUUCUGAAACUUUUUGUCUGGGAAAGUGCCAGGUGACUCAGAGCUGCGUAAUGUAACGAAAUGAGUCAGAUCAUCUCUCAAUGUGCUCUAAAUGAAUCUGCUGUCUUUAAAAUGGUGGCAGCCUUUCUCCAUGGUCCUGGUUGGAAAUAAGUACGUUCAUUUAUUCAUUCAUGUUUGAGCAGCUAUCAGGUACUGAAGAUUAAAAAAACAAUGAAACACAGGCAUAAGCUGCAAUGAUACAAUCUGCUUUGUGCUCUUCUUUUAGUGCAGAGGAGGAAAUGACUCUAACAGAGAUGGUAAUUAAAAUGAGGCUUGAUCAGGAACUGCUAAAAUUGGUAGAUCUCAACCUCACUGGUGUGUUUGGAAUCACCUGAGGUUCCUUGAAAAUACCAUCUUUUACCCUUGAGAGAUUCUGAUUCAUUGGUUUGGGCUUCUGUUUGGGCAUCAAAAUUUAUUUAAAAAAUUCCCCAGAUAAUUCUAAUGUGCAGUCAAGAUUGUGAACCCUUGCCUACAUAAACAUAACAAAUCUAAGUACCAAGGUGCCAAGAUGAUAAUAGGUGUAUUAACAUUUUAUUUUUAUAUGAAUUAGACAUUUUCAGCUUAUGAAAUGAAAGCCAGGGAUAAAUAUUUUAAUGUGUGCAUGAGCCUUUGACAAUCUUUUGUAUUCCUCUUCAGAUAUCUAAUUUAUUAAUAAAAGAAACACUAGCACAUGUUACCACCUAUCAGAGAGCACAUUUUUUCCAAUGAUCUUUAUAGAUUAUCAUUUUUCACUUUUCUGUAAAAUCUGUUUUUACUAAUAGACUCUGGUCUUGAACUAGUCUAUAAAAACAAAGUUCAUACAUUAAAAUGUUGAGUAGAAUAUUAAUAAGACAUAUCUAUUAGUUCAUAAGAAACAAUCUUUUAAUUUUUCUUGGAGGUUUCAGUAUCUCUGAUGCAAUAGUAGAGGCUGCCUUAAAAACUAAAAUAAUAUUCAUUUCUGCUGGAUCUUUGAGUAAAAUAUAAAAGAAAAAAAGAAAAAAGAAAAUCAAAUAAUAAUAUACAAGAUGCCAAAACUUCAAAUUAAUUCGCCAGCUUGCUCCUGGGUGUCAGUUAUAGAAAGAAAAGAUGAAAAAAAUUCCAAGAUUUUAUACAAAUUUACUAUAUGUUUUUGUUUUAAAAAUCAUAUUAGAACUAAAGGUGAAAAUUAGUCAGUUGUAACUUCCGGGUCCAUCACUAGCCAUGUAAUUUGUUUUAUACUCUGAAGGCAAAUGUCCAGUGUGAAAUAAUACCAGGUACUUACCUCAGGUAACUUCAAUUGUUUAAAAACACCCACACCCACACGCACCAAUGUCCAUGUGGUAGCCACAUGUGGGAGUGAUUCUUGCCUAUUCCAUCAGUAACAUUUAGAAGGGGUAGAAAAUUGAUGUUUUUUCCUUUUUAUAUCAUUACGUACAUUGUCUUCAAAGUAUUUUUUAAGUUCUCUAAAUCAAUUUUUUCUACCCAUCUCUCUCUUUAAAGUGGUCUUUUCUUUCUGAUUUUUUGUUUCCCAGUCUCCCUUCCCUCUCCUCCCCUCCCCUCUGCCCCCUUCCUUUUCUCUCUCUCUCUCUCUCUCUUCUUUCUUUCUUUCUUUUGAGACGAGAGUCUCACUCUGUCACCCAGGCUGGAGUGCAGUAGCACCAUCUCAGCUCACUGCAACCUCUGCCUCCUGGGUUCAAGCGAUUCUCAUGCCUCAGCCUCCCGAGUAGCUGGGACCACAGGCGUGCACUACCACGCCUGGCUAAUUUUUGUAUUUUUAGUAGAGAUGGGGUUUCACCAUGUUGGCCAUGCUGGUGUUGAACUCCUGACCUCAGAUGAUCUGCCCACCUCGGCCUCCCAAAGGGCUGGGAUUACAGGUGUGAGCCACUGUACCUAGCUCCCAGUCUUUCUUUCUAUUAAUCAAACUGUAUUCUCAGUGAUAAUAGUGGCCCCUCCACUCACUUAGUCCAAUCUUUCAUUCAUUAAUCCACUAUUUGUGAUAUGACAAUUAAUUCUAUUAUAAUCAAAUGUCCUGCUGCAGAUAAUGGCUUGUGACAUCAAAAUUUUGGAAAGAAAAGACUUGUUGAUUUCUUUACUGAUAGAUUGAGUAUCUUGCUUCAUAUUCCAACUCUCUUUGAGCAGAGUUUAAUCAACAGGGCAACUUCUUGGUAUAUAACAAAACCCGACGCUAGUGUCCCUGGGCAGUCUCUCUUACCUGCCACCUUCUCUUCACCCCCACUUCUCACUAGUCCCUUUCACCAGGUGGCUGGGAACCUGUGAUAAACCAGAGUAAAAUGCUUAACUACAUUAGGAGGUUGAAGAAUCUGCAUCAUAAACUGUUCUGUUUUCAGCAGGUAUUUCUUUUUAAAAUUCUUUCCGCCAUUCUUUUUUGCCUUCCCCUCUUUACUCCCAUUGUCUUAUUCUUCUAUGUAUGUUUUUUUUGUUUGUUUUCUUCCUUCCUCUUUCAUCCAUCUCCUGUACCAACCUAUGUCACAGCCAGAGAUCUUCGGGCAUUAUUGACCGUCACCAGUAGCCCCAAUGCCUUCUGAGAAGUCCCUCGCCUGUCAGUUCUUUCAGCACAAAUUAAUGGAGGGCUGAGACACUUAAAGAUGUAAGUCCUGAAAGUCACAGGGGUGCCAGGGGGAAGCUAUGCUCUGUGAAAUGUGACCACAAAAGGAUGCAAUGGAUUUUCGUCACAGUCGUUUCUGAGACUGUUUCAAAAGUGAAUAUCCCAGGAUGUUUGAGGUAUUGGUAUAAAAGCUGGAGCCCCUCAAGGCCACUAUUUUGAAAUAAACAGUACUAAUUUGCAUGUGUGUCAGAAGGAAAAGAAUUAAUGUGUGGAGGUUCCCUGUCAUUCCCUUUCUUCUUGUGCCAAAGAGAAUUCUGAGUUGUUCUAUUUGGCUUUCUGCCCCAUCCCCAAGGUAGAUCUUAGAUCUUUUUGAUGGAGAACAGGGAGAUAAGGGGAAAGAGAAGAGAAACACUACCUCAGAGAAGAGUUUUCCUAGAAAUUGAUAAGAUGUGAAGCAGUAGCUGCUGCAAUGAGGGAGGAAGUACAGGAGAGGGGAGGAGGAUGACGAUGGGCAAUGUUCAUAUCUCCCUUUGUGGUCUUGGUAUCUCCUUCAAAGUAUUCAGGAAAUGCAAGUAAAGAAUGUAAAUUAUUAAAAAAUUUCUUUGACUGUGACACUGCCCUGAGGCUGAGCAGAGAGAUGGCUCCAUAAAUUGAAUAGAUCUUUGCUAAACCAACUAAAUAACCCUGAUUUCUACUCUGGUUGAUGAAAUCCAGUCUUGUUCCAUUAUCAUUACACCUUGUAUAUAACAUGGGUGACACAAGCCACAGCUCAUCAGACCAAGGACAGACAUUUACAGGUCUUUGGUUGAUUCUUGUCCUUGAAGUCUUCAGGACAUGGGGUGCUCCUUGCUAUUUCUUACUUGCCACAAGUGGAAAUGGUUUCUUAAUAAUUAUUCCAGAAAAUUCUCACAAUCCCAUAAAGGAAGAGUAAUACUGAUACAAUUUCACUCAUCUAUCACCAUUAUGUAUGCUAAAAAAUAAAAGAAAGAAAGUUUUAAACCAUGACUG